AUUGAACGCUGGCGGCGUGCAUAACACAUGCAAGUCGAACGUGAAAGUCCUUCGGGGCGAGUAAAGUGGCGCACGGGUGAGUAACGCGUGGAUAAUCUACCCUUAAGAUGGGGAUAACGGCUGGAAACGGUCGCUAAUACCGAAUACGCUCCCGAUUUUAUCGUUGGGGGGAAAGAUGGCCUCUGCUUGCAAGCUAUCGCUUAAGGAUGAGUCCGCGUCCCAUUAGCUAGUUGGCGGGGUAACGGCCCACCAAGGCAACGAUGGGUAGCCGGUCUGAGAGGAUGACCGGCCACACUGGAACUGGAACACGGUCCAGACUCCUACGGGAGGCAGCAGUGGGGAAUAUUGCGCAAUGGGCGAAAGCCUGACGCAGCGACGCCGCGUGAGGGAUGAAGGUUCUCGGAUCGUAAACCUCUGUCAGGGGGGAAGAAACCCCCUCGUGUGAAUAAUGCGAGGGCU
rnacentral:rRNA from 1 species